rnacentral:rRNA from 1 species
GGCUAACGCUGGCGGCGUGUCUUAGCCAUGCAAGUCGAGCGGACUUAUGGGGUAACUUAUAAGUCAGCGGCGGACGGCGGAGUAACACGUAGCUAACCUACCCUCUGGACGGGGAUAACCUACCGAAAGGUGGGCUAAUACCCGAUGUAGUCAUCCUGUAUAGGGGUGAUGAAAGGUGGGCUUCUGUUUACAAGCUCAUGCUGGAGGAGGGGGCUGCGGCCUAUCAGGUGGUUGGUAGGGUAAUAGCCUACCAAGCCGAUGACGGGUAGCCGGCCUGAGAGGGUGACCGGCCCGAGGGGCACUGAGAUACGGGUCCCACUCCUACGGGAGGCAGCAGGCUAGAAAUUUGGGCAAUGGGGGAAACCCUGACCCAGUGACGCCGCGUGCAGGAAGGAGCCCUUCGGGGUGUAAACUGCUGUCGUGUAGGGAGAAGGGUACUAAGGUGAACAAUCUUAGUACUUGACGGUACUACAGGAGGAAGCCCAGGCUAACCUCGUG